rnacentral:misc_RNA from 1 species
CGUUGCCGAAGGUGUAGAUCACCGGGCCGACCAUGUUGACGCCGAACGGCAACGGCGACGGCGCUGGAGUUGCCUGCAAUUCUUCAAGGUAGAUGUGCUGCUUGGCAGGCGACCAGCCGGUGCCGCCAUGUUCCUUCGGCCAAUGCGGAACGGCCCAGCCCUUCUUGUGAAGGAUGCGCGUCCACGUGAUGAUGUCGUCC